UACGUAGGGCGCAAGCGUUAUCCGGAAUUAUUGGGCGUAAAGAGCGUGUAGGCGGCCUAAAAGGUCAGCUGUGAAAACUCGAGGCUCAACCUCGGGACGUCGGUUGAAACCAUCUGGCUAGAGUCCGGAAGAGGAGUGUGGAAUUCCCGGUGUAGCGGUGAAAUGCGCAGAUAUCGGGAAGAACACCCGUGGCGAAGGCGGCACUCUGGGACGGUACUGACGCUGAGACGCGAAAGCGUGGGGAGCGAACAGG
rnacentral:rRNA from 1 species